rnacentral:rRNA from 1 species
AAAACUAGGAUUAGAUACCCUAUUAUUAAAAAUUAAAAAAAUAAUACUAAAUUAUUAGAUAAUUAUUUAUUGAAAUUUAAAUAAUUUGGCGGUAUUUUAGUUCAUUUAGAGGAAUCUGUUUAAUAAUUGAUGAUCCACGAAUAAAUUUACUUAAUUUAAAAUUUUGUAUAUCGUUGUUAUAAAAAUAUUUUUAAAUAAUACAAUAAUAUUUAAAAAUUUAAAUAAAAAAUUAAAUUAGAUCAAGAUGCAGAUUAUAAUUAAGAAUAUAAUGGAUUACAAUAAAUUUAUUUAAAAUGAAUAUUAAUUUUAAAUAAUUAAUUGAAGGUGGAUUUAAAUGUAAUUUUAUUUAGUUUAUUAAAAUGAUUAAAAAUUAAAAUAUGUACACAUCGCCCGUCGCUCUU